CCAUAAUCCACCAUUCUAUCACAAAUACUCUACUAUUGAAGCCUCUCACUAGCAUUAUCAGUGUAGAACAUGAGUCUGAUUGUUUCAGCCAGUUUUCAUAUUUCACAACUUUUUUCAUUUGAGGGUCGUUUUUCAAAGAAAAGGAAGUGUUUGGUCAUUGAAACAGUCUUCAUUUCCUUUAAACCACAGUACGGUUUUCUUGCGUAUCUGUAACUCGUGUUUCAGUCGUGCCAUAUGGUCUCACAUAAAGCUUGGCCGAUACCACCAACAUAGCUAUAGCUUCACAACUCCGGUGUGACGCGUGUCACGAAGGAAGUGUUUUAGUUACAUGCCGCACACUGAGGACCUUACAGUGGGGUAAACAGAAACGGCAGCGCAGAAGGUCCCGUCGAGGCCGUCCUUCAGUCUCCUCGGUCACACCGCCCCCUAGUUUAUUCCCGUGAGUCGGGGCGGCCUGAGAGCCUUCCUGAGUGUGCCCUUAACUUAAGGUUAAGUUAUUUGCCUUAACCUUCCUUUUACAUAUGCGUACUCCCCCAUCACAAGAUUGGUAUUUUAGAUGUUUCUUAUCAACAGAAUUGACUGUCUGUAAACACUGUUCUGAGUCACAUGGAGACUAAUUUUUGUAUUUAGAAGGUCACAGCCCUCACUCAAACAGAAUAAAUGUAAAAUACAAAAGACAACAAAGGGGCAGAUAACUGCAAAAGACACGGUUUCUUUAUGUGUUCAUAUGUUAAUUAAAGGAAAAAGAUUUUAUAUGAAAAUGAGUUUAUAUUACACUUCCAUUAUACUAUUAAGUUAGCAUGAAAGUUUACCAUUAAAAUAAAGUGUUACCUCUUUUAUUACUAACUCUGAUUUGCUUAUAAAUACCAG
rnacentral:lncRNA from 1 species